CGAGAUAGGCAGUCUGUUUUCUGUCCACAGCGACACGGCUCUCCUCAUCGUACCAGCUGUUUUUUGCUUUUUCCGAAAACAAAUGGUUUCGUUAGCAGCCGUACGUAAGGAGCUUAAAUGCUUGAAAUGAAAUGGAUUGAGUGCUCUCAGAGAGCAGAACUGCAAGUCGAGUAGAAAAUCGUUUUUUCCUUGUAAUAUUUAAGUUUACUUCAGCGGAAUUCGAGUCCAUAACUUAUUCCAUAGACAGCAUAUACCUUACAGUCGCUUAAGACCGUUCUGGGGUGUAUGAAUAAGAUAGGAUUUGGAUUCCUGCAAAUAACAUAUAUUAUAUUAUGAAUAUUUAGAGCUCCAAGCAUCCUUCAAAUGGUAUAUAAUUGUUUAAGAAAAGUUUCGUCUUGUCAUAAAUACACUAUUUACACUUGCAGAUGUAAAUAAUUUUACAAUGACUGGCAAAAUUCGUGUGACAAGAAAGAAAGUAGAACCAAGGAGCAAUAAAUUUUUAGUUUAACCCUUGCUUCACCAUAAAAAAAAGAGUCCACAUCACUAUAAAAGUACAAUGAAACAUCUGUUUGGAAAGAUGCGAAGCAUAUCAAAAUAUAACGCUUCCUCUAUCAAAUAACCUCUUUCUUGAGUUAAUUAAAAAAAAUUGGACUAAUAUGACAUGAAAAAAUACAGUGGACCCCAAACGUCAUCAUCCAUAUAAUAAUAAUUAAUCUGUAUAUUUUAUUUAUUGAAAACUAAUUAAAUUCACCUUUUACAUUUCGGUUCUUAUUGCAGUUCCUCACCAAGCAACCGAAUAAACGUCUCGGGUGUGGGACCACCGGCGAAGCGGAUGUGCGUAUACAUCCGUUCUUCCGACGAAUCGAUUGGGAGAAAAUCGAUAAUCGUGAAGUGCAACCGCCUUUUAAACCGAAAAUUAAACAUCGCAAAGAUGUCUCGAAUUUCGAUAAGCAAUUCACUUCGGAGAAAACAGAUCUGACUCCAACGGAUAAAGUAUUUAUGAUGAAUUUGGAUCAAACUGAGUUUGUGGGCUUCUCCUACGUGAAUCCGGACUAUGCGGUGCCCGUUUAAAGGCACUGAAACUCCGCACACAAACACACACACACACCCAAAGUACUAGGAAUUGAAAGGACACAACCAGGGAAAGAAAACCGAAAGCUGGGGAGAGAGCGGGAUAUAGCGUAUCCGAGAAUAUUAUAUUGUUUUAUCAGAAGCAAGCAAGUAAAGCAGGAAAUCAAGCAUUAACCAGCUUCAACGUCGUUUGAUGUGUGUGUGUAUUGUUGCGGUGCGUUUUUUUCGAGCAUACUGUACUUUCGUGUGACCAGCGUGCCAUUAUAAGAAUUUUAAGCAGAAUUUCCAAAGCGUACUGAUAAACUCUAUCCGGUGAAACUGAUACUUAAUGAUAUCAUAAUAUGAACAAAUGAUAUGGAAUUGUCUAUGACUGAAAAGCAGGUGUUGGCGCUAUCAGGUAAACCACCAUUUUUGGUCUCACUACACUCGUGCUUUCAAACCAUGGUAAGUGGGCUCUGUUUGCUCUGUGUGUUUUUGAGGUUAAUGCUUUGUGUUGAAGGAUCGCUUGUUCUUCGCUAUGGAGUAUUGUAAAGGCGGUGAUCUUAUGUAUCACAUGCAGAUCUAUGGACGUUUUAAGGGAUCUGUAGCUUUCUUAUAGCGAUCUCAAGCUGCAUAAUGUGCUGUUGGAUAGUGAGGGACACGUAAAACUUGCCGAAUACGGUUUGAGUGAGGAAGGUAUUGAAGAACGUGAUUCCACCAGAACACGUUCAAAAAUAUCAAAGAAAAGAAAGCAGUAUUUCCGAAACACUUCUCACAAGAGGCUAUGGAUGUGCUAACUAGCGUGAGUAAUUUUAACAUAAAAACACUAGAAAAAUUCGCUCACGAUAGUAGUUCUUCGCUAAGAAACCAAACAAUCGUUUAGGUUCCGGACGCUAUGCGCGCUCUGAGGUUACCACGCAUCCAUUCUUCAGGAAUAUUACUGGGAUAAGGCCGAAGCAAAGGAAAUGGAGCCACCUAUUGUGCCAAUGGUGACUGAAGACUGUAAAGGUUGCAAAGGUGUUAAAGUGUUGAAACUCUAAUAAAGGCAUAUGCUAAACAGCUUCUUAAGAA